CUCCAAGAAGAAGAAGAGCAUGAGAUCAUCAUUGACUGUGGUGGCAGCCGUCGGAGAUGUCUCCCCUGACGGCACAGUCUACCUCCUCGCCGGCGCCGCCACCAUCGCUCUGCUUGGGACUGCCUUGCCUGCAUUCUUCUCUCGCAAAGACACGUAAUCUGGGGAAAGACUUUCUUGCUGUUGUUAAUUUGAAUUCUUCUGUAGAUUCUGAAAAUUAGUUUUUACUGUUUUCUGCAGUUGCCCGGAGUGCGACGGGGCAGGUUUCGUACGGAAAUCGGCGGCGACCUUGAGAGCAAAUGCUGCAAGGAAGGAUCAGGCUCAGAUAGUUUGCCAGAAUUGCAAUGGGCUAGGCAAGCUCAACCAAGUCGACAAAUGAUCAAGCUUUUUUUGUACCGUAAAAAUACUCGGAAUCUCUCUUUGUACGUUAUUAAUUUCUGUUUAUAAUGUUGAAAUUGGAAUCAUGCUGCUACGCUACGUAAACAGUUUUCUUAACUCCGUUUCCUUAUAUAUUGUUAUUUGUUACCCUCUAUGUUUUGCCGGUGAUAAAUGCCGGAUUCAGCGCUAGGUCCGGUGACGUAGCAUCUUAGUUCCCAUAAAAUAGGAGAUUAUGUUUCACUGAUAUAAAUCAAUUUCAAAACAGCCUUAGGGUUUUUUCCUUCUAUAUAUUUUUCUUUCUCUGUAAUUGCUCGUCUCGCGGCUCUGUCUGCAUUCUCUGUAUAUGGUUGUUUCCUCUCCUGUUUUUUCUGCCAAUGUACAAUUAAGGAGGGAG
rnacentral:lncRNA from 1 species